rnacentral:lncRNA from 1 species
CAUUGUUACUUAAAUUUGCAUUUCUCUGAUGAUGAAUGAUUUUGAGCAUUUUUGUAUACCCGUUGAUUAUUUGUAUGUCUUCAUUUGAGAAAUUUAUAUUCAAAUCCUUUGCCCAUUUUUUAAUUGGGUUUUUUUUGUUACUGGUGUGUUGUCUGAAUUUCUUAUAAUCUUUUCAAAAAACCAACUCAAGGUUUGUUGAUCUUUUCCACUGUUUUUUUUUCCUCUACCGCAUUUAUUUCUGCUAUUAUCUUUAUUAUUUCCAUUCUUCUGCUAACUUUGGACUUAUUUUAUUCUUGUUUUCCUAGUUCCCUGAGAUGUUAUUUUAAGUUGUUUAUUCAGGACCUUUAUUCCUUUUUGAUGUAGGCAUUUAUUGCUGUAAACUUCCCUCAGAGAUACUUGUGCUGUUCCCUUUAUGUCUGGGUAUGUUGUGUGUCUAUUUUUGCUUGUCUCAAGAUAUUUUUUAAUUUCCCUUUUAAGUUUUUCAUUGACCCAUUGAUUGUUCAGCAGGGUGUUGUAUAAUUUCCAUGUAUUUGUAAAUUUUCCAAAAUUCUUCUUGUUAUUGAUUCCUUGUUUCAUACCAUUAAGGUCAGAAAAGAUGCUUGAUAUGAUUUUAAUCUUAUUUGUUAAGACUUGCCUUGUUGUCUAACAUAUGAUCUAUCCUGUAGAAUGUUCUGUGUGUGCUUAAGAAGAAUGUGCAUUCUUUACCAUUUGGUGGAAUGUUCUGUAUAUGUCUGUUAGGUUCGUUCAGUCUAGAAUGUAGUUUAAGUACAAUGUUUUCUUAUUGAUUGUCUAUGUAGAUUAUCUGUCCAUUGUUAGAAGUGGGAUAUUGAAGUCACCUACUGUUAUUGUAUUAUAAUCUAUCUUUCCUUUCUGGUGUAUUAAUAUUUGCCUUAUAUAUUUAGGUGCUCCAAUGUUGGUUGCAUAAACAUUUACAAUUGUUAUAUUCUCUUGAUUCAUUGACUCCUUUGUCAUUAUACAAUGACCUCCUUUGCCUUGCUUUACAGUUUUUUACUUAGAGCCUAUUUUAUCUGAUGUAAAUAUAACUACUCCUGCCAUCUUUUGUGUUUCAUUUGCAUGGAAUAUUUUUUGUUAUCCCUUCACUUUCAGUCUAUAUGUGUUCUUACAGGUGAAAUGAGUCUCUUAUAGGCAGCAAUAGAUGGGUCUUGAAUUUUAAUCCAUUCGGCCACUACAUGUUUUUUGAUUGAGAAUGUAAUCCAUUUACAUUCAAGGAAGUAUUGAUAGGUAAAGACGACUGUCUUUUUUUAAUUGUUUUCUGGUUUUAUUGUAGAUCCUUUGUUCUUUUCUUCCUCUCUUAUUGUCUUCCUUUGUAAUUAAGUGAUUUUCUCUAGAGGUUUGCAUUGAUUUCUUACUUUUAUCUUUUGUUUAUCUACUAUAGGUUUUUGUUUUGUGGGUUACCAUGAGGCUUACAAAAACAUCUUAUAGUUAUAACUGGUUAUUUUAAACAGAUAACAACUAUGAUCACAUAAAAAAACUUUAUGCUUUUACUUCACCCCUCCCCCAUACAUUUUAAUAUUUUUCAUUUUAAAUUUUUGAUGUCACGAUUUACAUCUUUUUAUACUGUAUAUCCCUUAACAAAUUAUUGUAGCUAUUAUUAUUUUUAAUAGCUUAGUCUU